rnacentral:lncRNA from 1 species
GGCAGUAAAAGCAUAUCACUGUGUCUUCAUUGUGCUUUGCAUGACUGUGGUUUGUCCAGCAUAGCCAGUGGUUUGUUAACCACCUGAUAGCUCACUGCCUCCUCUCCUUCACUGCUUUGCCAGGUAUUGCCCCAAAAUCAGAUGAGGAAAACAACAUGUGAAUGUGGAGGUAUGACAAAGGAAUCACUGCACAGCAUCCAAACUCUUUUUCCAAGGAGAGCUGUUCCUGAGGAUGGCCCCAGCUCUUCUAGAGGUGCUCCCACACCCCCAGCAGCAGCCCAAGAUUCAGCGUUGACAGGGGUUGUUCUGAAUGUAACAGGAUCCCACGGCAGAUGUAAACCAGACUCCAGGCAUUUGCUUCGUGUUUCAGCGAGGAGGUCAGUGCAUGAAUUUGCCUGUGAAAACAUUGAUGCGAGGCUGCCAGCAUUCCCCACUCAAGAGCCGGGUGACAAAUGACGUGGUGUUAGUUUGUGAAUGGAGUGUGGGCAGCUGCUGAGCUGUUUUGCCACGGAGCUCUCCGAGAAAACAUCUCUCCCUGCGUGGGGCCAGGAGCUGAGCACUGGCCAUCACCUGCCCAGGCUGGUGGGGACACACAGACCUCCUGCCCUGCCCUGCCCUGCCCUGCCAUCACACCGGCUGCCUUUACACCUCCCCUUACUUCUGCAAGGAGUUAUGUUCUGCCUGGCUCCUACAGAAUGGGGGUGUUGUAGGUCUUGUUUUGCUCGUGGGGAGUGAGGGUUUCCAGUAAGGACUUGUUUGCAGCCAAAACUUUCUUAGAGGCUCUGCACGUUCCUCUCUGCUCUGAGGCUGCCCAGGAAGCCUUAGCUGGAGUACAUAAUCAUAUUUAGCUCCCUUCAAGCUGCUCCCCGAUUGAUUCACCUCUAUCAGACAAACUUCUCAAUGAAUUUUACUGCUGCUGUUUUGGGCAGUAGAGCAACCUCAUCUCCUGUUGGGGGAACAGAUGUUGCUGGUGGCACAGGGUUUGCUGAGUCCUUAACAAACAUGAUUUUUAAUUUGGG